rnacentral:rRNA from 1 species
ACAGCAGUCGCCGCGGGAAUACGAAGGGUGCAAGCGUUACUCGGAAUUACUGGGCGUAAAGCGUGCGUAGGUGGUGGUUUAAGUCCGUUGUGAAAGCCCUGGGCUCAACCUGGGAAUUGCAGUGGAUACUGGGUCACUAGAGUGUGGUAGAGGAUAGUGGAAUUUCCGGUGUAGCAGUGAAAUGCGUAGAGAUCGGAAGGAACAUCUGUGGCGAAGGCGACUAUCUGAGCCAACACUGACACUGAGGCACGAAAGCGUGGGGAGCAAACAGGAUUAGAUACCCCCGUAGUCCAUGUCUCUUAUAC